CCUACGGGAGGCUGCAGUGAGGAAUAUUGGUCAAUGGACGAGAGUCUGAACCAGCCAAGUAGCGUGAAGGAUGACUGCCCUAUGGGUUGUAAACUUCUUUUAUAUGGGAAUAAAAUGUUCCAUGUGUGGGAUUUUGUAUGUACCAUAUUAAUAAGCAUCGGCUAACUACGUGCCAGCAGCCGCGGUAAUACGGCGGAUCCGAGCGUUAUCAGGAUUUAGUGGGUUUAAAGGGAGCGUAGGUGGAUUGUUAAGUCAGUUGUGAAAGUUUGCGGCUCAACCGUAAAAUUGCAGUUGAAACUGGUAGUCUUGAGUACAGUAGAGGCAGGCGGAAUUCGUGGUGUAGCGGUGAAAUGCUUAGAUAUUACGAAGAACUCCGAUUGCGAAGGCAGUUCACUGGACAGCAACUGACACUGAGGCUCGAAAGUGUGGGUAGCAAACAGGAUUAGAUACCCUAGUAGUC
rnacentral:rRNA from 1 species